CUUCGGGGUACACGAGCGGCGAACGGGUGAGUAACACGUGGGUGAUCUGCCUUGCACUUCGGGAUAAGCCUGGGAAACUGGGUCUAAUACCGGAUAUGACCUCGGGAUGCAUGUUCUGGGGUGGAAAGAUUUAUCGGUGCGAGAUGGGCCCGCGGCCUAUCAGCUUGUUGGUGAGGUAACGGCUCACCAAGGCGACGACGGGUAGCCGACCUGAGAGGGUGACCGGCCACACUGGGACUGAGACACGGCCCAGACUCCUACGGGAGGCAGCAGUGGGGAAUAUUGCACAAUGGGCGAAAGCCUGAUGCAGCGACGCCGCGUGCGGGAUGACGGCCUUCGGGUUGUAAACCGCUUUUGACAGGGACGAAGCGCAAGUGACUGUACCUGUAGAAUAAGGACCGGCCAACUACGUGCCAGCAGCCGCGGUAAUACGUAGGGUCCGAGCGUUGUCCGGAAUUACUGGGCGUAAAGAGCUUGUAGGCGGUUCGUCGCGUCGUUUGUGAAAACUUGGGGCUCAACCUUAAGCUUGCAGGCGAUACGGGCGGACUAGAGUACUUCAGGGGAGACUGGAAUUCCUGGUGUAGCGGUGAAAUGCGCAGAUAUCAGGAGGAACACCGGUGGCGAAGGCGGGUCUCUGGGAAGUAACUGACGCUGAGAAGCGAAAGCAUGGGUAGCAAACAGGAUUAGAUACCCUGGUAGUCCAUGCCGUAAACGGUGGGUACUAGGUGUGGGGCUCCUUCCACGGACUCCGUGCCGUAGCUAACGCAUUAAGUACCCCGCCUGGGGAGUACGGCCGCAAGGCUAAAACUCAAAGAAAUUGACGGGGGCCCGCACAAGCGGCGGAGCAUGUGGAUUAAUUCGAUGCAACGCGAAGAACCUUACCUGGGUUUGACAUACACCGGAAACCUGCAGAGAUGUAGGCCCCCUUGUGGUCGGUGUACAGGUGGUGCAUGGCUGUCGUCAGCUCGUGUCGUGAGAUGUUGGGUUAAGUCCCGCAACGAGCGCAACCCUUAUCUUAUGUUGCCAGCGCGUAAUGGCGGGGACUCGUGAGAGACUGCCGGGGUCAACUCGGAGGAAGGUGGGGACGACGUCAAGUCAUCAUGCCCCUUAUGUCCAGGGCUUCACACAUGCUACAAUGGCCGGUACAGAGGGCUGCGAGACCGUGAGGUGGAGCGAAUCCCUUAAAGCCGGUCUCAGUUCGGAUCGGGGUCUGCAACUCGACCCCGUGAAGUUGGAGUCGCUAGUAAUCGCAGAUCAGCAACGCUGCGGUGAAUACGUUCCCGGGCCUUGUACACACCGCCCGUCACGUCAUGAAAGUCGGUAACACCCGAAGCCGGUGGCC
rnacentral:rRNA from 1 species